AACGAACGCUGGCGGCAGGCCUAAUACAUGCAAGUCGAACGAACCGUUUACGGUGAGUGGCGCACGGGUGCGUAACGCGUGGGAACGUACCCCAGGGAGCGGAAUAACGUAGGGAAACUUACGCUAAUACUGCAUAAUGACUUCGGUCCAAAGAUUAUCGCCCUGGGAUCGGCCCGCGUCUGAUUAGGUAGUUGGUGAGGUAACGGCUCACCAAGCCGACGAUCAGUAGCUGGUCUGAGAGGAUGAUCAGCCACACUGGGACUGAGACACGGCCCAGAGUCCGACGGGAGGCAGCAGUAAGGAAUAUUGGACAAUGGGCGAAAGCCUGAUCCAGCCAUGCCGCGUGAGUGAAGAAGGCCUUAGGGUUGUAAAGCUCUUUUAGUAGUGAAGAUAAUGACGGUAGCUACAGAAAAAGCCCCGGCUAAAUUCGUGCCAGCCGCCGCAGUAA
rnacentral:rRNA from 1 species